CCCUGCCCUUUGUACACACCGCCCGUCGCUCCUACCGAUUUCGAGUGGUCCGGUGAACCAUCUGGAUUGGAUCGUGAGGUCCGAGAAGUUUAGUAAACCUUAUCACUUAGAGGAAGGAGAAGUCGUAA
rnacentral:rRNA from 1 species